UCCUCAUCUUUUUUAAGAACACAAAGCUAACUGGCUCCAGAAAUGUCACUAAAUGUGCAAUACAUUUAGCAGCCUGACAGAUAAUUUGGCUUUGCCAGAGUAAUCCCUGUUCACUUCAACAAAGUGCCAUGGACUUAGCUCAACAGUCAGAUUAUGCCAUUUGUCAGUGGCAAUCACCGCUCUGGAGGGAAGGGAUACGCAAACAUAGACUGAAACCUUGUCGAGACAUCAUAAUUGUACUAGUUUAAAUAAAAUCUGUUUGAAAUUAAUUUCGUUAUGUCAGUGCAAAGCCUCUUGUGGGUGUCCUUAAGCACUCACAGACCGGCAUUCUCGUUUCAGCUUGUGCCAGAAGCGGAUGCCAGUGAAGCCAACAGAUGCCUGGUUUCGGCUGAUACAACAAUGCCUGUAUCAGGUUUUUCACCACCUCAGAAAUUCACCUUAUGGUAGACAGGCCCUCAGGAUCUAUGUUCUUCUGCAUGAGGAACCUUUAUUCUCUAGAAAAUCUCCAUGCAUCACUUGAGCUCUGCAGGCUGAUCUUUUCACCCAAGUUAAUGAGCUUCCGUGCUGCCAUAUAUGAAUCACUCCUUACCCAGCAGUGGUUUUAACCAGAAUCAGAUAGAAGCAGCCAGCUCACAAGUCAAACAUUUGCCACAAUCUAUCCUGCAGAGAAAGGCUGUGGUUUCCUUUCAAUUCUGAGCUAAGACUCUUAGGUCUGUGAAGAAAGAUGCACAUUAAAAUUCCACGUUGGGUCUUCAGACCUACUGCACUUCACUUGGUGCCGCUGCUGCUACUGCAGGAGGCAACUUUAGAGCCUGGUGCUGAGCCCAUCCACCUGGAAGAUGGAGGCAGGCUUCUUGCUAUCAUUUCGGUGCUUUCAAAUGAGCGCAGAAGUCAUUGUCUGGCAAACAGACACUGGGGGAGCCGCUGGGAAAUCAGCUUGGAGACCGUGAAGCAGAUCUGCAUGCAUCAAGUCAGAGAACUUAAAAUCACAGCUAUCGCAUGUGCAUUUUCUGUUAGCAUCUCCUGCUCUCAUCCCCUUGUUUUGCUGUCAUUAAGGUGUUAUUUUUGUCACAUUGCAGCUGGCAGAGUCAGGACAUGUACAGAAGCAGACGCUGGAAGUAACUGACUGUCACUUAAGCAUUUGUGUGACUACUGCUGGAGGAAGAACUUCAUAUGCUGUAUCGAGACACAGACACAGGAUGUUUCUGCUAAGCCCAUGGGCUGUUCUACUGAAACAAAGAUCUAUUUUCUUCAGUGGUAAGGAGACUCAUGAAAACUAAAACCUCUUGGAGUCUGUUCCUGUGACAAGGUUGCUCAAAGUCCAUGUAUCCACAAAUAGUUAAGGCACCCAAGGAUGAUGCUUACAAAUGGAUAAUCCAGUCCAUUGGCUCUGUG